rnacentral:rRNA from 1 species
UACGGAGGGUGCAAGCGUUAUCCGGAUUCACUGGGCUUAAAGGGUGUGUAGGCGGGUCUUUAAGUCAGGGGUGAAAUCUCCGAGCUCAACUUGGAAACUGCCAUUGAUACUAUUGAUCUUGAAUUUUGUUGAGGUAGGUGGAAUAAGUCAUGUAGCGGUGAAAUGCAUAGAUAUGACUUAGAACACCAAUUGCGAAGGCAGCUUGCUAAACAAAUAUUGACGCUGAGGCACGAAAGCGUGGGGAUCAAACAGG